UACGUAGGGGCCUAGCGUUGUCCGGAAUUAUUGGGCGUAAAGAGCUCGUAGGCGGUUCGGCAAGUCGGAUGUGAAAUCUCCACGCUUAACGUGGAGGGGCCAUUCGAAACUGCUGUGACUCGAGUCCGGUAGGGGAGUGUGGAAUUCCCGGUGUAGCGGUGAAAUGCGCAGAUAUCAGGAGGAACACCGGUGGCGAAGGCGGCACUUUGGGCCGGUACUGACGCUGAGGAGCGAAAGCGUGGGGAGCGAACAGG
rnacentral:rRNA from 1 species